rnacentral:rRNA from 1 species
UACGAAGGGUGCAAACGUUGCUCGGAAUCAUUGGGCGUAAAGCGCACGUAGGCGGCUUCGCAAGUCGGAUGUGAAAUACCUCGGCUCAACCAAGGACGUGCAUCCGAAACUGUGGGGCUUGAGUACUGAAGAGGAUCGCGGAAUUCCCGGUGUGGAGGUGAAAUUCGUAGAUAUCGGGAGGAGCACCAGUGGCGAAGGCGGCGAUCUGGGCAGAUACUGACGCUGAGGUGCGAAAGCGUGGGGAGCAAACAGG